rnacentral:rRNA from 1 species
CCCGGGUCUUGUACACACCGCCCGUCUCACCAUGGGAGCGGGAUGUACCAGAAGUAGGUAGGCUAACCGCAAGGGGGCCGCUUACCACGGUGCGUUUCGUGACUGGGGUG